AGAGUUAGGUACCUAUCAGUAGGUAUUCUAAAUGAGCCGAAAAAUUUAAGCCGGUUUUAAAAAAUUUUGGUCGCGUUGCGGCAUCGCGCGGCGGUCCGACCCCAUAACACAUACGCAAUUAUAAACCACUGAUUUAGAAAGAAGAAUGGUAGCUCUGUAAGAUGGUAUAACUUUACCAGCUGUAUAAUAUAAUUAAAUGCUAAAAAUGUUCAAUUUAAAAUUUUAAAAUGUUUUUUUUCCAUGAAAAAAUAAUUUUACAGCCGCCAAAGUUGUAUAUUCCGAAAGGGCAUCCAAUUUGCCAUAAAACUGUUACGAUUUAAUGAACACUCCAUGUAUGGGGUCGGACCGCAGUAAAUGAAACCAAUGUAUACAAAUCGCGACGACCCGCAUCUAAAUUUCGCCGGCUUGAGUCAAGAUUUUGUUGAAUUCCGGAACACCCGACCUCGGUUCAGAGCAAGAUUUUGUGUUUAUUCGUUGAUUACAGUGGAUUUAAAAGCACGUGCAGAGCAAGAUAUUAGCAUAAAAGAAAGUGGAAACUGAAAGGCCUGCCAAAAAAUAUGUAUUGUUUGUGUAAGCACCAACAGGACUCCUGAAUACUUUUGAAGGAAACCAUAUGUCAAAUACAUUUUCUCUACUCUGGACCAAUGGAAGGAUCCCUUACUAGAUUCCAUAAUUUGAUGUGUGCUGCCAGUUCACAAUCAUUUAUUACAAUGCUACUCCAAACCUUGAAGAAGACAAACUCAACCAGGAUAUUGACUAUUAAUUACAAUGCUACCCAACCUAAUAGAGAACUUUCCCAAUCAGGAUAUUGACCUGUCUUUUUGAACCUGCUCUAAGAUUUCUGAUAAUUGUAUAAGUUAGGACCUAGACAUUUCCAGAAGUUGACUUUGAUCAAUAACUAACUAGAAGAAAUAAAUAUACUAGUAACAAGUAAAUUUAUGCUAAACAAGUCAUGAUUAGGAACCAGAGUAACAAAACUAGAUGAACAUCACAACUCUAUUAGUUAUCUUACUUCGUCAGUUUUUAAAAUGCAUGGAAUUUCUUAUUAUUAUAGUAUAUAAGUAAAGUAAUAGUAUAGUUAUUUAGUUUUUUUAUAACAAAUUAAUGCUACCAUGUAUCCUACACAAUUUAUAUUACUUUCUUAAAAGUAAGAACACUUUUUGCAAGAUGUUAGGUAAUGAAAAUUCUUGAUUUUGGGCGUUAAGGAAGGAUGCCUUGUAUUGUUUUGCAGAAGGAUUAUUUCAUGUUUCUGUGUUUAUUAUAUAUUAAGAACAUCAUAUGCUUUAAGUUGGUGUAAGAUUUAUUAAGAUACCUUACUUAAAUAUUUUUAAAUCAUUUUUUGAAAAAGGAUGAAAUUUCAAAUUUUUAUAAACUGACCUUGCUGAAUCUGGUCUCGCUAAUUACUUUCUUUACUAAUUCUUUACCUGCUUGUUUCAUAUUAACAUGCUUUGAAUUUCCUUUCUUAGAACAUUUAUAUUAUUAAUGUGGCUUAAUUAGUUGAUUUUCUAUGAUUUUUUAAAAAUGACUGUAAAUUAACUUUUUGUCUCCCUUUUCGUACUUCGUUAAAAUUGUGCUUUGGCUCAUUUUUAUGUGAAUAAAUUUUCUAUUUAUAUCGGUCUGACUACCUUGAAAAAAAUUGGGUUUGCUAUUUGUAUUACUGGCUGUGUGUGCAAGAAAUUUGAGAGUUCUAACUUAGUUAUUGUAGAAGUUAGUAGGGGUCUCAAAUAGACCCUUUACUGCUCAAAAAGCGAACGCAUUUUUUGAGUUUUAAAAAAUUCAUAACUUUUUUAAAAAUGGACAUACACCAAUAAAUUUGGUGUUUCUGUUCUGAUGAAAACAGUCUCUAUCAGGUGGAAGUGUUAAAUUUUAUUUAAUUUCAUUAUAAAAAUUUCAUUUUGAAUACCUACUAUCAGUGUCAGAGUUGGGUGGACUCCGGGACGGUCUACUGACUUGAACCCGGAUACAAACUAAAGAAUUACGGGUUUGCACUUGCAGUCCAGCUCUCUACCGC